UUACGGCCACAUUACGUUGAAACAUCGAUUCCCAUACGAUCACCGAAGUUAAGCACCACAAACCUGGUCAGUACUUAGAUGGGUGAACGCUUCAGAAUACCAGGUGCUGUAA